CGGUGGCGAUAGCUAAGGGGAUCCACCUGUUCCCAUACCGAACACAGUAGUUAAGCCCUUAAACGCCGAAGGUACUUGGUUGGAAACGGCCCGGGAGAUUAGGUAGUUGCCGGUU
rnacentral:rRNA from 1 species